rnacentral:misc_RNA from 1 species
UGUGAAGUUGUAAACACUGUCACUGUCAGUGUGUACGUGUGUGUGACUUUCUGGCGCUUCCUACAGUUACUACAUGGUGCAUUAAUGGCUAUACAGGUCGGUGUGAGGCCCAGCCAGAGCCACACACUCUCCUGACUACCAGGAGUGCAGCAAUGGCCAUCCAUUGCCCUCUGCCCUGCCCUGCCCUGCCAUGGUGAGUCCUUCCCCUGCACCAGCAACACACGCCAGGCCAUACUGUGGCUAGCUUUGUGCAACCCACCAGGCUUCCACCACCUGCCAGCGCCACUAGUGCUGGUGGCAGCCGUCCGUCCCUCGAGCCCUGCACCAGGCCAGACCAGAGCCCAGGCUACUGCUGCCCUGCCUGGCACCGACCACUCCAGCUGGAUUCCCUGAAGGUUUGUGCAGGAGAAGGUGUGGCGUGAGUCACCGGGAGCAGUGCUGCAGCAGAGACUGUGAGGCUGGCCAGCAGCAGCAUGAGCAGCAAGAAGCCGCAGUCUGUCUCAGGUGUUGGGAGGUGCAGGCAUGGGGGGGGGGAAUCACCAAGAGCCAGGCAGCUCCUGCCACAAAGGAGAGGCCAGGUUAAAGUGUCAGCUGUGUGAUAAAACCUCUGAAUCUAAAAGUAAGGUGAGGCUCCAUGCCCAGAAACACAGUGGUGUUAAGGACUUAGAGCAUGGGAAGUGUGGCAGGAAAUUUGCCUUAAAAAAUCAUCUCACCAGACACAUAAAGGCACACACUGGAGUGAGUAAUUAUGAGUGUGAGGAGUGUGGAAAGAAAUUUACCAGAAAGAGUAACCUUGACACACACACCAUGACACACAAUGGUGUCAGGAACUAUGAAUGUGUAGAGUGUGGCAUGAAAUUUACCUUAAAGAGUAAUCUCACCAGACACAUCAAGGCACACAGUGGAGUCAAGAAGUAUAAGUGUGAGGAAUGUGGAAAGAAAUUUACCACACAGGGUAACCUCACCACACACACCCUGACACACAGUGGUGCAAAAAGGAGUGUCAGGCAUCACAAGUGUGAAGAGUGUGGUAUGAAAUUUACCGUAAAGAGUAAUCUCACUAGACACAUCAAGGCACACAGUGGAGUCAAGAAUCAUAAGUGUGGGGAGUGUGGCAAGAAAUUUUCCACACGUGGUAACCUCACCACACACAUUGUGACACACACUGGUGUCAGGAACUAUGAGUGUGAAGAGUGUGGCAUGAAAUUUACCAUAAAGAGUAAUCUCACCAGACACAUCAAGGCACACAGUGGAGUCAAGAAGUAUGAGUGUGAGGAGUGUGGCAAGAAAUUUGCCACAAAGAGUAACCUCACCACACACACCCUGACACACAAUGAUAUUAGGAAGUAUAAGUGUAAGGAGUGUGGCAAGAAGUAUACCAGAAAGUCUUACCUCACCAAACACUACUAUGAGACACACAUUUUGUGAAGAGUGUGGCAUGAAAUUGAGUGACUACUGACUACAAAGAAUAACCUCAGCAGACUCACCAAGACACCAAUGGUACAUCACAGUGUCAGGAAUUGAGUGUGAGAAAUAUGGGGAAAUAUUUACCAUUGGUGCUCUCAACAGACAUGCCUUCAGACACACAGGCUUGUUCAAGUGUUCAAGUGUGGCAAGUGUUUCAAGACAUAGCCAGAGUUUGCUGGCCACAUGACCAUCCACUUUUGAGGAUGUAAAGUCAUCACAUAACAAGAGGAGCACUGCCAGGCGGGUGACGAUGUAAG